rnacentral:rRNA from 1 species
AGUGAACGCUGGCGGUAGGCCUAACACAUGCAAGUCGAACGGCAGCACAGUAAGAGCUCGCCCCUACGGGUGGCGAGGGGCGGACGGGUGAGGAAUACAUCGGAAUCUACUUUUUCGUGGGGGAUAACGUGGGGAAACUUCCGCUAACACCGCACACGACCUACGGGUGAAAUCAAGGGAUAUUCGGACCUUUCGCGUCUCAAAUAGCCGAUGUCGGAUUAGCUAGUUGGCGGGGUAAAGGCCCACCAAGGCGACGAACCGUAGCUGGUCUGACAGGAUGAUCGGCCACACUGGAACUGAGACACGGUCCAGACUCCUACGGGAGGCAGCAGUGGGGAAUAUUGGGCAAUGGGCGCAAGCCUGAUGCAGCAAUGCCGCGUGAGUGAAGAAGGUCUUCGGAUCGUAAAGCUCUUUUGUUGGGAAAGAAAAGCAGCAGAAGAAUAUCCCGCUGUUUUGACGGUACCCAAAGAAUAAGCAACGGCUAACUUCGUG